rnacentral:rRNA from 1 species
AUUGAACGCUGGCGGCAGGCCUAACACAUGCAAGUCGGACGGUAGCACAGAGGAGCUUGCUCCUCGGGUGACGAGUGGCGGACGGGUGAGUAAUGUCUGGGGAUCUGCCCGAUAGAGGGGGAUAACCACUGGAAACGGUGGCUAAUACCGCAUAACGUCGCAAGACCAAAGAGGGGGACCUUCGGGCCUCUCACUAUCGGAUGAACCCAGAUGGGAUUAGCUAGUAGGCGGGGUAACGGCCCACCUAGGCGACGAUCCCUAGCUGGUCCGAGAGGAUGACCAGCCACACUGGAACUGAGACACGGUCCAGACUCCUACGGGAGGCAGCAGUGGGGAAUAUUGCACAAUGGGCGCAAGCCUGAUGCAGCCAUGCCGCGUGUAUGAAGAAGGCCUUCGGGUUGUAAAGUACUUUCAGCGGGGAGGAAGGCGAUGUGGUUAAUAACCGCAUUGAUUGACGUUACCCGCAGAAGAAGCACCGGCUAACUCCGUGCCAGCAGCCGCUGUAA